rnacentral:lncRNA from 1 species
GAAACAUUGAUAUGGUGUGUUAAGUGUAAAGUAUUAACAUAAGAAACGUUAGUUUGGGAUGGGUAUGUUGUAUUUGAUAUUUCAGAUCUGUAUGUCUAGUGUAGCAGUUGGUGUGUAUGAACACAAUGUUGGCUAAGUCUUACUUUUUGCGGACUAACAGGCACAGAGAAGAAAUAGAGUACAAAUAUUAGUGUAAAAUUGGUAUGUCGUAUUUUGAUCGUCAUUACUGUAUGUCUAUUAUAUUAGUUCAAGUGCAUGAAUACAAUGUUAGAUAAGUCAUACAUGUUGUCCUUUAACUGUUACAUGGUUUGGAUUAACAGGUACAGGACAGAAAGAGAACAUAAAUGUUAGAUUGAAAAUGGAAUAUGGUAUUUGGGACUGCAUUGAUGUAUGUUUAUUGUAAUAGGUGUUGUGCAUGAACAAAAUGUUGGAUAAGUGUUACAUGGUGUGGAUUAACAAGUACAGAGAAGAAACAGAGUAGAAAUGUUAGUGUAUAAUUGGUAUGUCAUAUUUGAGACUUCGUUGGUGUAUGUUUAUUGUAUUCGUUGCUAUGCAUAAACACAAUGUUGGAUAACUGUUACAUGUUGUGGAUUAACAGGAAUAGGACACAAAUAGAAUAGAAUUGAUCGUUUGAAUUUUAUAU